rnacentral:lncRNA from 1 species
GUCCUGCUCAACAGAGUCAGGGAUUAAAUUUUACCCCAAAAGAGCCAUUCAAUUCCAACUAGGAAGAUUCUCUGUCAACAUGAAAGAGCCAGGAAAAGUCCUGCACAAACAGAAAGGAAACAGAAAGAGUCCUGAUCAGACAGAAAAGAACCAGGAAGCUCCCCAUGCAGUAGAAUUAAAACAACUCCCUAUCCUUAUCCUGACUCACCACCACAGAUCUCAAUUUCCCCAGCCAGGAAAGACAAAAAGGGCCCACAAGGUCAGCAUAAAUACCUGGAUGAAGACAACAGGGUUUGAGAGCAGUCAGCACUCUGCCUGAGUCCCAGUAACAGCAACUGUCAGAGAAAAAUAAAUCUGGAUUUAAAUAGGGAGACGGUUUAUUCAGAAGAAACUAUUGCAAUAAGGAAAAUACUCCAAACUCAAGUGUCCACAGGCAUCUCAAAAUCAACCUGAAUAAGUUUUUCUGUUUGGUUGGCUUUUGUCUUUUUAAUAGGAUAAAGAAGUUCAAGUGAAGAUAAGCAGAAUCUUCUAAAGGGAACUUGGACAGGCAAGAGGAAAUGAGCAGUGGGGUAUGACAGGAAAAGGGUCUCACUGUGUUGAGCUGAUUCCCAGAGGAAGCUGAUCAAGAGGACACAUUCUACGUUUUUCAAGCUUGCUCAGACUUGGGAGAACUCAGGCUUCAGGGGACUGGAGGAAGGAGAGAAACCUGGCUAACAGUCAAGACAAAACAAGAGCUCAGUGAAGACAUGUGAGCAAGGACAGCAUUCUCUAGAGAGAGAAAGAGAGAGACAUGGUGAGAAGAGAGAAGACUAGAAAAGGAGGAAGACAAGAAAACCUCCCUUUCCAGCAACGUGGCUUUUUGCAGAUGAAUGAUUCUGGAUGAAAAUACUGGAAAGUCUCAAGUGAACUGGCAUAAUCAUUAAAGAAAAUGUUUCUCAUAGAAAACAACCUUGACUCCGCAGUCUCUCGGCGCAGAUGAAUCCAGCUGUUCAGCAGCAUUAUCGACAGCCCUCCUUCCUUUUAUCUCCCGAACCUGCCACAGUACGCUGCCUUUGCCCUCGGCUCUCUCCCCAGAAAGUUGCCCACUUCUGAGAGUCACGUACAGAUAAAUGUCCACAAAAAUAAAAGAGGCAUUUUCCUAUCUGUUUAUCAUUUUAUAAGCAAAAGAGACAGGCAAG